rnacentral:tRNA from 2 species
AAGCCUAUAAUUUAAGGGUAGAAUGUUAUCUUGAUGAGAUAAUCGUAGAAGUUCAAAUCUUCUUGGGCUUA